rnacentral:rRNA from 1 species
GGUUAAGCGACUAAGCGUACACGGUGGAUGCCCUGGCAGUCAGAGGCGAUGAAGGACGUGCUAAUCUGCGAAAAGCGUCGGUAAGGUGAUAUGAACCGUUAUAACCGGCGAUGUCCGAAUGGGGAAACCCAGUGCAAUUCGUUGCACUAUCGUUAACUGAAUACAUAGGUUAACGAGGCGAACCGGGGGAACUGAAACAUCUAAGUACCCCGAGGAAAAGAAAUCAACCGAGAUUCCCCCAGUAGCGGCGAGCGAACGGGGAGCAGCCCAGAGUCUGAAUCAGCUUGUGUGUUAGUGGAACGGUCUGGAAAGUCCGACGGUACAGGGUGAUAGUCCCGUACACCAAAAUGCACAGGUUGUGAACUCGAAGAGUAGGGCGGGACACGUGGUAUCCUGUCUGAAUAUGGGGGGACCAUCCUCCAAGGCUAAAUACUCCUGACUGACCGAUAGUGAACCAGUACCGUGAGGGAAAGGCGAAAAGAACCCCGGCGAGGGGAGUGAAAAAGAACCUGAAACCGUGUACGUACAAGCAGUGGGAGCACCUUUAUGGUGUGACUGCGUACCUUUUGUAUAAUGGGUCAGCGACUUAUAUUCUGUAGCAAGGUUAACCGUAUAGGGGAGCCGCAGGGAAACCGAGUCUUAACUGGGCGUUAAGUUGCAGGGUAUAGACCCGAAACCCGGUGAUCUAGCCAUGGGCAGGUUGAAGGUUGGGUAACACUAACUGGAGGACCGAACCGACUAAUGUUGAAAAAUUAGCGGAUGACUUGUGGCUGGGGGUGAAAGGCCAAUCAAACCGGGAGAUAGCUGGUUCUCCCCGAAAGCUAUUUAGGUAGCGCCUCGUGAACUCAUCUUCGGGGGUAGAGCACUGUUUCGGCUAGGGGGUCAUCCCGACUUACCAACCCGAUGCAAACUACGAAUACCGAAGAAUGUUAUCACGGGAGACACACGGCGGGUGCUAACGUCCGUCGUGAAGAGGGAAACAACCCAGACCGCCAGCUAAGGUCCCAAAGUCAUGGUUAAGUGGGAAACGAUGUGGGAAGGCACAGACAGCCAGGAUGUUGGCUUAGAAGCAGCCAUCAUUUAAAGAAAGCGUAAUAGCUCACUGGUCGAGUCGGCCUGCGCGGAAGAUGUAACGGGGCUAAACCAUGCACCGAAGCUGCGGCAGCGACACUAUGUGUUGUUGGGUAGGGGAGCGUUCUGUAAGCCUGCGAAGGUGACCUGUGAGGGUUGCUGGAGGUAUCAGAAGUGCGAAUGCUGACAUAAGUAACGAUAAAGCGGGUGAAAAGCCCGCUCGCCGGAAGACCAAGGGUUCCUGUCCAACGUUAAUCGGGGCAGGGUGAGUCGACCCCUAAGGCGAGGCCGAAAGGCGUAGUCGAUGGGAAACAGGUUAAUAUUCCUGUACUUGGUGUUACUGCGAAGGGGGGACGGAGAAGGCUAUGUUAGCCGGGCGACGGUUGUCCCGGUUUAAGCAUGUAGGCUGGUUAUCCAGGCAAAUCCGGAUAAUCAAGGCUGAGGUGUGAUGACGAGGCACUACGGUGCUGAAGUAACAAAUGCCCUGCUUCCAGGAAAAGCCUCUAAGCAUCAGGUAACAUCAAAUCGUACCCCAAACCGACACAGGUGGUCAGGUAGAGAAUACCAAGGCGCUUGAGAGAACUCGGGUGAAGGAACUAGGCAAAAUGGUGCCGUAACUUCGGGAGAAGGCACGCUGGUGUGUAGGUGAAGUCCCUGCGGAUGGAGCUGAGACCAGUCGAAGAUACCAGCUGGCUGCAACUGUUUAUUAAAAACACAGCACUGUGCAAACACGAAAGUGGACGUAUACGGUGUGACGCCUGCCCGGUGCCGGAAGGUUAAUUGAUGGGGUUAUCCGUAAGGAGAAGCUCUUGAUCGAAGCCCCGGUAAACGGCGGCCGUAACUAUAACGGUCCUAAGGUAGCGAAAUUCCUUGUCGGGUAAGUUCCGACCUGCACGAAUGGCGUAAUGAUGGCCAGGCUGUCUCCACCCGAGACUCAGUGAAAUUGAACUCGCUGUGAAGAUGCAGUGUACCCGCGGCAAGACGGAAAGACCCCGUGAACCUUUACUAUAGCUUGACACUGAACAUUGAGCCUUGAUGUGUAGGAUAGGUGGGAGGCUUUGAAGCGUGGACGCCAGUCUGCGUGGAGCCAACCUUGAAAUACCACCCUUUAAUGUUUGAUGUUCUAACGUUGGCCCCUUAUCGGGGUUGCGGACAGUGUCUGGUGGGUAGUUUGACUGGGGCGGUCUCCUCCCAAAGCGUAACGGAGGAGCACGAAGGUUAGCUAAUCCUGGUCGGACAUCAGGAGGUUAGUGCAAUGGCAUAAGCUAGCUUGACUGCGAGCGUGACGGCGCGAGCAGGUGCGAAAGCAGGUCAUAGUGAUCCGGUGGUUCUGAAUGGAAGGGCCAUCGCUCAACGGAUAAAAGGUACUCCGGGGAUAACAGGCUGAUACCGCCCAAGAGUUCAUAUCGACGGCGGUGUUUGGCACCUCGAUGUCGGCUCAUCACAUCCUGGGGCUGAAGUAGGUCCCAAGGGUAUGGCUGUUCGCCAUUUAAAGUGGUACGCGAGCUGGGUUUAGAACGUCGUGAGACAGUUCGGUCCCUAUCUGCCGUGGGCGCUGGAGAAUUGAGGGGGGCUGCUCCUAGUACGAGAGGACCGGAGUGGACGCAUCACUGGUGUUCGGGUUGUCAUGCCAAUGGCACUGCCCGGUAGCUAAAUGCGGAAGAGAUAAGUGCUGAAAGCAUCUAAGCACGAAACUUGCCCCGAGAUGAGUUCUCCCUGAGACUUUAAGUCUCCUGAAGGAACGUUGAAGACGACGACGUUGAUAGGCCGGGUGUGUAAGCGCAGCGAUGCGUUGAGCUAACCGGUACUAAUGAACCGUGAGGCUUAACCUU